GACAUGCGCGUGGACGAGGGAGCUGCGAUGCGGUGGUGCUCGUCCCGAAGCGAGCGACCUCGAUGCCGCCGUCCCGGGGCUUGGCGACAUGGGCAUCAAAGGGUUUCGCCUUGGCCGACGAGGGCAUUCUGAAGCUAGCGCCUCCUCCAGAAGGUGUACCACGUGAUCGAUCUGCAAGGAGCUGCCAGUGCUGAUUGCGGCUCGUCGCUUGCCUAUAUUGGAGCGGUGUAGUGAUGGUGAAACAUUCAUAAAACAGCUGAUCUGCAAAUAAAUCGAUGGCAUCUGGAAAUAAACAACAAAAGCUUUAACAUUAUUGUUGUGAAGGCUACAAACAUGGAAGCUCUGACCAGAUGUACAAUUGUGUGAAGCUAGUGUCAUCUGGUUUCCACUUAGUUCCUGCUCUGGGUGCCAUCAUAGUCGGUAGUACAUAAUUGAAUUUGACAUCUGUCGACACUUUGGUCUUCGUGGAACAUGAUCAAAACCAGAUGAAGGAUCUCCAGGCAAUGGACAGAGCACAUCUUCUGUGUUGUUUGGUUACCAAUGCAGUGAGUCAUAAAUGCUGAUAACUCCAGCCUGAAGACCCUUAACAUUGGCCAGCUACUUAAUUUGUUAACUUUGUUCCCCCUUUCUAGAAAGGCGUUGGUUCUUUCAAUAAGCAAUUCCAGUGGCGAGGAUAGUAAAGACUACUACUGUAGACAUUGUAUUCAUCAUACAGAAGUAUCACACCCGAAGUGCAAAAGAAAGGGCGAUGAUCUCUUCUAUGAGUACACCUUGUCUAUCAGUGAAGCUCUUUGUGGGUUUCAACUUGCUCUGACCCAUCUGGACAACAAAUAGCUGCUUAUUACGUUAAACCAUGGUCAUGAUCUGUGGCCGAUGGUCGCCAUGCUGACUGGCUUCGUUUUUAAGAAAGUGCUGCUCGCCUACGGCUGCUCCCACUUGCUGGCGGUUUGGUCUGGCGUGACCUGGCCGUUCUGGUAGCGGGGGUGCUUCCGCUGUGGCGGUGACACAAGGCCUUGGCUAUGACCUCCCUGGUGAUGGAUGAACAAGCAUGCAAAGCCUUCUUCUUUGACCUGUGCAUGGUAGCCAGUUGGGGUGCGCCACCGGAGGAGCGGUGCACGCAUCAACUGUCCGUGGGUGGCUCUUGUGGAUGAAGGGAGAGCACGCCUUGGUGCAGCGGAGGCAAGUAGCAUUGGAGAAUAGAAGUGGAGCUGGACUCACAAGGAGACAAACAUCAUGCUUCUCCUGAGCGAAGUGGCAACCUGGGGUUGAUGAUCAAGCAAACCCUGAAGAUAGACAAGCACACGUUCAAGUCUAAGUUGGUGCAGGGGAGCCAAGUCAUGGUGGAACGGAGGGCGUUGCCGUUGAUCUGGCUUCCAUCUUCUCAGAGAAUGACAAGGUUUAGAUUGAUGGUGGACAGAGAGGAUAAACUACCGGCCCCUCCUCCCCUGUGUUGUCCCUUCGUCCCUUUGUCCCAGUUCCUCCCAUCCCGCGUCAGAUCGACCACUACCGCCUCAGAUCGUGAUCUGAGGGGCACGCCGCCUAGGAGCCAUGGCGUUGUGGCGGCUUGCUAGCUGGCGGGCGCAUGCAACAGUAGGACGGUGCGUGGUGCUCCGUCGCUCCGUCGAUCUCGCUGCCUGAAUGUGAUUGAUGGGCGGCAGUGGUUGGUGUGGCGGUUUGCACAACUCUAGGCUCUUCUCUCUAGUCGAUUCCCUCAACCUGCCCCCUUUCACCGUGCGGGUGGAUCUCUCCAGCGACACUGUUGGCUUGGGCCUUGCUGCUCAUGCCCACUGGUGUUAUGUCGGCCAAGGGAUGCCUCCAGCGGCUGAAGGUGAGAAAAAGAUACCUAGAACUUCAUGCCAGCUAGUGUGCUUGGGUAGUUUUUUUUGGGGUAGUGUAGAAAGGGUGAGAAGAUGACAGGAAGAUGAACCUACCAAACAGUGGCACUUUUAUGGUUGUUGCUGUCAAGAAACUCAACUCGUAUAUGAGGAGUUGCAGGAAGGUGAAAGAUGGGCGAGGUGCCGAGCCUUGUUUGGCCAGUUGUAACCUGAUGCAACGCUGGAGCAGUACAUAGAGCAACCAGCAGGUCGUCGUGGCCUUCAUGUAGGAGAGAAGUGGAUGUAUGUGGUCUUGAUGCAACAGUAUCAGCAAGGGACGAACUGGAGCUGGUAGCUGGCCAAGAGGGAGGGAGCCUGGAUCCUACAUGGUUUUAUUUACCUGAGUCAGAUGUGCUUCAAAACAUGGGAAGUCAUGGUGCUUUUAGGGAUCCUGGGAUAUGUCGCGAGCAAGUGUACUUGUAACACUUGAGGUGAUGUGUAUGUAUAGCUGAUAAUAGCUAGGUUGCUUUCCAGUAGCAAGCUAAUGUGCAUGUACUGAACUCCAUUGAUUUUUCUGUAGCUAGCUGAUAUUAUAGUGUCACGAUCAUACAUCCGUCGGUCAGUGGCCUAUGAACCUUGUCAGUAUCGAUUUUUUUUUGUUGUGAACUCCAUUGAUUUUUCUGUAGCUAGCUGAUAUUGUAGUGUCACGAUCAUACAUCCGUCAGUGGCCUAUGAACCUUGUCAGUAUCGAUUUUUUUUUUUGUUGCAAUCUGUGAACCUGAAGGAGCAUUGCUAGAGCACCUGAUGUUGUAGCAAUUUGGUAUGCACUAUUUUCGUAUAACAAUUUCAGCUAUGUGUGACUUGAAGAGGAUUUUUUUACUUUGUGCUUGAAUAUGAAGGGAGUGGAUGCAUUUUUAUUUU